CCCGCUACCUUGUCUCUCAUCA
rnacentral:miRNA from 8 species